rnacentral:lncRNA from 1 species
AGCUGGGAUUACAGGCAUGUGCCACCAUGCCCCGUUGGCCAGGCUGGUCUCGAACACCUUACCUCAGGUGAUCCUCCCACCUUUGGGAUUACAGCAGGCUGAGGAAUUACCAAGGAGGCAGGAGGUGGAGCAAAACACACCAAGCCUGAUGCCAAUCAUUGACAAUAUUAUGACCCUGCAUGUGAUGGAUCAGCUGACACCAUCCAGAUUGGUAAACUGGUUCGUCUGAUCUUGUGCCCUCCACCCAGGAACUGACUCAGCGCAAGAAGACAGCUUCGACUCCUUAUGAUUUCAUCCCUAACCAAUCAGCACUCCUGGCUCACUGGCUUCCCCCAACCCACCAAAUUGUCCUUAAAAACUCUGUUCUCCAAAUGCUGGGGGAGACUGAUUUGAGUAAUAAUAAAACUCUGGUCUCCUGCA